rnacentral:rRNA from 1 species
GACGUAGGGCGCGAGCGUUGUCCGGAUUUAUUGGGCGUAAAGAGCUCGUAGGCGGUCUGUCGCGUCGGCUGUGAAAUCCCGAGGCUCAACCUCGGGUCUGCAGUCGAUACGGGCAAACUAGAGUAUUGCAGGGGAGACUGGAAUUCCUGGUGUAGCGGUGAAAUGCGCAGAUAUCAGGAGGAACACCGGUGGCGAAGGCGGGUCUCUGGGCAAUACUGACGCUGAGGAGCGAAAGCGUGGGGAGCGAACAGG